rnacentral:rRNA from 1 species
UACGUAGGGUGCAAGCGUUAAUCGGAAUUACUGGGCGUAAAGCGUGCGCAGGCGGUUUUGUAAGUCUGUCGUGAAAUCCCCGGGGCUCAACCUGGGAAUGGCGAUGGAGACUGCAAGGCUAGAGUGUGUCAGAGGGGGGUAGAAUUCCACGUGUAGCAGUGAAAUGCGUAGAGAUGUGGAGGAACACCGAUGGCGCAAGGCAGCCCCCUGGGAUAACACUGACGCUCAUGCACGAAAGGCGUGGGGAGCAAACAGG